UAACUUUUCAGAUGAUUUUUGUCAAAAAUGAAAGUGGCUGCAUCCGUGUUCAUCCUCAACCUUUAUAUAUGUUAUGUAUUCUCAUCUUAUAUAUUUAUGUAGCAGAAGCAUUCUACUGUCCAAUUAAUAACUAAAAGUUUAUAUUUUAACCAUUUUGUAAAACUGCUAUAUUUUGGGGCCAAAAAGGGGUCUUACUGGACCUACUCCUUUGGUAAUUCAUAUAAAACAAAGCAGAAAAAAAACUUUUAGAAUAUUUUUUUUUAUAUAUAAAAGUAUCUUGCAUUUAUUAAUAAAUUUACUUUCUGAUUCAUAUACACUGACUCUACAGUACCCUAGCAGUUAUCAAGGGGUGCUCCUUUCAUGGAGGGAACUUCGUUAAAAUGAAAGCAACAAGUUUAUACAGGUCAUGUAGAUUGAAUUGCAUUAUUUAUUAAAAAGAAAUUAAUAGUUGUGCAUCUCAGUUCUUAUAAGAUUAUCAUCCCUUAUCUGCUCUUAUUUAGAAAAGAUUAAAAGAAACUGGGAAUUAAUUCUAUACAUUUAGAUAUAUGCAUAGGUAAUCACAUUUCAUACCUGUUCAAUAAAGACAUUUGUGUGUGUAAGUUAUGCAUAUACUUCAUAAGAUAGUAUCAUUUGUCAGAGCAAUAUAUACAUGUUUUUAAUAUUUUAUUGUUCAUGUAAAAAUAUCGUAAAAUAUAUGUCAGAGUGAAAAUUCAUACAUCUUUACAUGUGAAUGAAUAGUGACUGUGAAUGCAAUGCUUAGUGCUUAAAUAUGAAUGAUCAUUUACAUAGUAUUUUCCAACCACAGAGAAACUAUGCAGUGUUACAAUGUGUUUAAAGAUAGCAUUGAAGUGAUUGACAGAUGUUCAAUCCAUCUCUAUGUCACAUGACUCAAUUGAACAUCUAUUUAUCAACUGCAUACAAAAACUCAAAAUAUCUUCUUACUUAAAGAACAAUAUAGUACAUUUAAUUCACAAAAAAUCUACUUUCAAG
rnacentral:lncRNA from 1 species